AUUGCCGGGUAGCUAAAUGCGGAAGAGAUAAGUGCUGAAAGCAUCUAAGCACGAAACUUGCCAAGAGAUGAGUCAUCCCUGACUUUAAGUCAGUAAGGGUUGUUGUAGACUACGACGUAGAUAGGUCAGGUGUGUAAGUGUAGUGAUACAUUGAGCUAACAGAUACUAAUUGCCCGAGAGGCUUAACUAUACAACGCUCAAG
rnacentral:rRNA from 1 species